rnacentral:rRNA from 1 species
CCUACGGGUGGCAGCAGUGGGGAAUAUUGGGCAAUGGGCGCAAGCCUGACCCAGCAACGCCGCGUGAAGGAAGAAGGCUUUCGGGUUGUAAACUUCUUUUGUCAGGGACGAAGCAAGUGACGGUACCUGACGAAAAAGCCACGGCUAACUACGUGCCAGCAGCCGCGGUAAUACGUAGGUGGCAAGCGUUAUCCGGAUUUAUUGGGUGUAAAGGGCGUGUAGGCGGGAAGGAAAGUCAGAUGUGAAAACCAUGGGCUCAACCCAUAGACUGCAUUUGAAACUGUAAUUCUUGAGUGCUGGAGAGGCAAAGGGAAUUCCUGGUGUAGCGGUGAAAUGCGGAGAGAGAAGGAGGAACACCAGUGGCGAAGGCGAAUUGCUGGACAGUAACUGACGCUGAGGCACGAAAGCGAGGGGAGCAAACGGGAUUAGAUACCCGAGUAGUC